rnacentral:lncRNA from 1 species
AUAAUUUUUGCUUCGGUUGUUUGAGAGAGUCUGGGUGGAGUUAGAAUUAUGAAGUAGUCGUGAGUUAGUGGGUGAUUAGUUAGUGGGAUAAUAGGGGGAAGUUGAGAUAUUGUGGAUUUGAUUUUUUAUUUUAUUUCAAUUUUAUCUUCUUUUCCCAAAAAUAAAAAUAAUAUAUUCCUUCCUUUGUUUUUUCUUUUAACCUUUUUUUAUCUCUCUGUUCAUUCUUUCUUUCCCUUUUUUGACGUUUUCCAUUCUUUGCAAAAAUCCU